rnacentral:rRNA from 1 species
AGUGAACGCUGGCGGUAGGCCUAACACAUGCAAGUCGAACGGCAGCACAGUAAGAGCUUGCUCUUACGGGUGGCGAGUGGCGGUCGGGUGAGGAAUACAUCGGAAUCUACUUUUUCGUGGGGGAUAACGUAGGGAAACUUACGCUAAUACCGCAUACGACCUACGGGUGAAAGCAGGGGAUCUUCGGACCUUGCGCGAUUGAAUGAGCCGAUGUCGGAUUAGCUAGUUGGCGGGGUAAAGGCCCACCAAGGCGACGAUCCGUAGCUGGUCUGAGAGGAUGAUCAGCCACACUGGAACUGAGACACGGUCCAGACUCCUACGGGAGGCAGCAGUGGGGAAUAUUGGACAAUGGGCGCUAGCCUGAUCCAGCCAUACCGCGUGGGUGAAGAAGGCCUUCGGGUUGUAAAGCCCUUUUGUUGGGAAAGAAAAGCAGCAGGUUAAUACCCCGCUGUUCUGACGGUACCCAAAGAAUAAGCACCGGCUAACUUCGUG